AUAUUUACCUGGACGGGGUCAAUGGGCGAUCAACAAGGUCCAUGGCCUAGGUUGGUGACGUUCAUUGCUCUUUGGAGGGGUGCCAGCCUAAGGUUGGCCCAAGUGGCCAAGCCUAUGUCAUAAUUUGUGGCAGCGGGGGGCCCUGCGUUCCCGCGGCCCCUAC
rnacentral:snRNA from 10 species